UACGAAGGGGGCUAGCGUUGCUCGGAAUCACUGGGCGUAAAGGGUGCGUAGGCGGGUUUUUAAGUCAGAGGUGAAAUCCUGGAGCUCAACUCCAGAACUGCCUUUGAUACUGGGAAUCUUGAGUAUGGAAGAGGUGAGUGGAACUGCGAGUGUAGAGGUGAAAAUUCGUAGAUAUUCGCAAGAACACCAGUGGCGAAGGCGGCUCACUGGUCCAUAACUGACGCUGAGGCACGAAAGCGUGGGGAGCAAACAGG
rnacentral:rRNA from 1 species